rnacentral:rRNA from 1 species
UAAUACGAAGGGGGCUAGCGUUGUUCGGAAUUACUGGGCGUAAAGGGCGCGUAGGCGGUCUUUUAAGUUAGGCGUGAAAGCCCCGGGCUCAACCCGGGAACUGCGCUUAAGACUGAAAGACUAGAAAACGGAAGAGGGUAGUGGAAUUCCAAGUGUAGAGGUGAAAUUCGUAGAUAUUGGGAAGAACACCAGUGGCGAAGGCGGCUCACUGGUCCGUAACUGACGCUGAGGUGCGAAAGCGUGGGGAGCGAACAGGAUUAGAUACCCUGGUAGUCCACGCCGUAAACGAUGAGUGCUAAGUGU